rnacentral:rRNA from 1 species
AUGAUGAACUUGAGAGAUCCAAAACCCAAGAUCUAUCCCUCAACUACGAGGGGAGGUAAGAAACUGCCAUCUAGCUCUGCACUUGAUUCACCUUCUGUUUUGAGUAAGCUUGCGACACCUACACCCGCUUCUGUUAUUCGUUCUGAUAUGUCGCAUGUUAUUGAUGAUGCCAAUUCUGCUAUGCAUGAUACUUAUGAUGAAACUACCUCUAUGCCUGAUACUACUAUGUCACUUAGUGAUUUUCUUGAUGAACAACUUGCUAGGGCUAGAGAAAUUGAAAAUAUUGAAUCUGAUGAUACUGAUGAAAGUGAUGAUGAAGAACCACUUGCUAUUCCUAACGGUUAUGCAUUUGAUCAAGAUGCUUCUUUAGCCAUUUUAGCUUGCAAAAAUAGAACUGAACUUAAAAAAUUAUUAGCUAAAUGGAGUAAGCAAUCCCUAAAUGAUAGAAUGAAACCUGACCCUGCUUUUGCUACUUCACCUAUCUUUGUUACUGAUAAGGAUUAUGAAUUCUCUAUUGAUCGUGAUAUAAUUACUUUGGUUGAAUCUGAUCCUUUUCAUGGUUAUGAAUCUGAAACUGUUGUGGCACAUCUUACUAAACUGAAUGAUAUAGCUACCCUGUUCACUAAAGAUGAGAGAACUUGCUACUUUUAUAUCCUUAAAAUAUUUCCGUUCUCAUUAAAGGGUGAUGCUAAGAUAUGGUUUAAUUCUCUUGAUCCUGGUUGUGUGCGUAGUCCCCAGGAUAUGAUUUAUUACUUCUCUGCUAAAUAUUUCCCUGCUCAUAAGAAACAAGCUGCCUUAAGGGAUAUAUAUAAUUUUGUGCAAAUUGAAGAAGAGAGUCUCCCACAAGCUUGGGGGAGGCUUCUCCAAUUACUUAAUGCUUUGCCUGAUCAUCCUCUUAAGAAAAAUGAAAUACUUGAUAUCUUUUAUAAUGGACUAACCGAUGCCUCCAGAGAUUACCUGGAUAGUUGUGUUGGUUCUGUUUUCAGGGAAAGAACACCGGAUGAAGCUGAAAUUCUAUUGAAUAAUAUGUUGACAAAUGAAAAUAAUUGGACACCUCCGGAGCGAAUUCCUGAGCCUAUUCCUAAACCAACUCCGAAGAAGAGGGGUAUUCUAUUUCUCAGUCCUGAAGAUAUGCAAGAGGCAAAGAAAUCUAUGAAAGAAAAGGGUAUUAAAGCUGAAGAUGUUAAGAAUUUACCUCCUAUUGAAGAAAUACAUGGUCUUAAUUUACCGCCUGUUGAAGAAACAAAUAAUCUUAAUCCUUUACCUAUUGAAGAAACUCAUGGCCUUGAUAACCCGACACAGGUAGUAAAGGUAAAUUCUCUCUAUAGAUAUGAUAAAGGUGUAAUCCCAUUUACUAAAUUUGCUAGCCCAUGCUUAGAUGAGUUUGAUAAAUUUAUGGCUAAGCAAGAAGAUUUUAAUGCUUAUUUUGGUAGACAAUUGAAAUACAAUUCAAAUAUGCUUGGACACUUGGGUGAUUAUAUGGCUAAUGUUAAAAGUGAACUUAAACUUAUUAGUAAACAUGCUUCUAUGGUUACCACUCAAGUAGAAGUACUUAAAGCUCAAAAUGAUUUGCUCAAUGAAUUGAAUAAUAAGAAUAAUGAUAAUGCUGUUAGAGUGAUGACUAAAGGUGGUAGAAUGACUCAGGAACCUUUGUAUCCCGAAGGCCAUCCUAAGAGAACCGAGCAAGAUUCUUAG